rnacentral:tRNA from 1 species
UGGGGGUAGUUUAUAAAAUGUUAAUUUGUCAGAUUAAAGAGGGUGAUAUUCCACAAU